GAGUUUGAUCCUGGCUCAGAACGAACGCUGGCGGCAUGCCUAACACAUGCAAGUCGAACGAGACCUUCGGGUCUAGUGGCGCACGGGUGCGUAACGCGUGGGAAUCUGCCCUUGGGUUCGGAAUAACAGUUAGAAAUGACUGCUAAUACCGAAUGAUGUCUUCGGACCAAAGAUUUAUCGCCCAGGGAUGAGCCCGCGUCGGAUUAGCUAGUUGGUGAGGUAAAGGCUCACCAAGGCGAUGAUCCGUAGCUGGUCUGAGAGGAUGAUCAGCCACACUGGGACUGAGACACGGCCCAGACUCCUACGGGAGGCAGCAGUGGGGAAUAUUGGACAAUGGGCGAAAGCCUGAUCCAGCAAUGCCGCGUGAGUGAUGAAGGCCUUAGGGUUGUAAAGCUCUUUUACCCGGGAUGAUAAUGACAGUACCGGGAGAAUAAGCCCGGCUAACUCCGUGCCAGCAGCCGCCGCCGUAAU
rnacentral:rRNA from 1 species